GACGAACGCUGGCGGCGUGCUUAACACAUGCAAGUCGAGCGAUGAAGCACCUUCGGGUGUGAUUAGCGGCGAACGGGUGAGGAACACGUGAGGAAUCUGCCUUCCACUCUGGGAUAACUCCGGGAAACCGGGGCUAAUACCGGAUAUUUUCAACUGGCGGCAUCGCCGGUUGAAGAAAGUUUUUCGGUGGAAGAUGACCUCGCGGCCUGUCAGCUUGUUGGUGAGGUAAAGGCUCACCAAGGCGACGACGGGUAGGCGGGCUGAGAGGGUGACCGGCAACACUGGGACUGAGACACGGCCCAGACUCCUACGGGAGGCAGCAGUGGGGAAUAUUGGGAAAUGGAGGAAACUCUGACCCAGCGACGCCGCGUGAGGGAUGAAGGCCUUCGGGUUGUAAACCUCUUUCAGCAGGGAAUAAGCGAAGGUGAAGGUACCUGCAGAAGAAGCACCGGCUAACUAUGUGCCAGCCGCCGCCGUAA
rnacentral:rRNA from 1 species